ensembl:misc_RNA Y_RNA Y RNA
UGCUGGCCUUAAUGCAGUGGUGUUUACAAUUAAUUGAUAACUACCAUUUACAUAUUUCUUUGUUCCUUGUCCACCUCCACUUCUUCACUUGACUAGCCAAAA